ACCCCGCUUUCCUGUAGAAUGUGAUUGCUUUGUCUGGGGGGAAAAAUCCAAAGUAUAACAAGGGGAGAACAGUUAGUGCUGAUUUUCAUUUGCAUAAAUUUUCAUAUAUUUUGGUGAAAAUAAUAGACUAGUGGAGAGCUGGGCUUCGUGGAGUCAGUGCAAAGGGAAAUCUUACCCUGGAUCGGUUGGGGCUGCAGAGGAGGACCCGAACUCUCCUCUCCCUCCAACUUUAGCGGCAGUAAAACACUUUGAGAAAUAAUAAUAAUCCGAAUUCUCUCAAGCCAGGACCUCCUUUGGGGCUGAUCCCUUCACCCGCGAACACUGAGGAGGCUGGAAAACUCUUCCCUGCCUAGGCGAGCACACAGAAGACUUCCAGUUGGAUCUGUCUUGUUAAACCACUUACUCCUUUUAACAUGCAAACACAAGUCCUGCUGCCAAAGCAAAACAGAUGCUGAAUGAUGGUAUGGGAAUGGAAACACACCUUUUGGAUAUCUUUCUCAACAGAGGAUAGAGGUAGAAAACACACUGGUAAGGUAUACAGUUUUGAUUGUGCAAUGGCAAGAAGAGCCAAGGCUGAGCUACCUUUUCUCAUCUUCUGAGUACUCUUCCAUUCUAACAAACAAUUGCCAAAAGGCUGCUUUUCAGUAAAAGCAAGCAAAGAACAGACAUAAAACACUGUCUCGUUCUGCUUAGCCAUGUCAUUCAGCAAUCAUAUAGCUUCAAUAUCUAGGAAAGUUACUUUUUUGGACUGCAGUUCCAGAAACCCUUGUCAUGGACAGUGGUAAAAAAAAACAACUUUCCAAAAGUCUAUAUAGCAUUAAUUUUAGAUGUUACAGUUAGAUCUUGAUUGUAACUGCAAGUCUGUUUAUUUGGGAGUAAAUAUUAGCAGUCAUGUGUAGUAUAGGGCAAGGUUUAUACCAUUGUAGGAAUAGUUCAUACAAUUUACUUCCUUGUCACAUGUUUAAUUCCAGGUGCAAAUGUGCGUUAGAGCUGCAGAAACACAAGGUAUCACACAUGCACACACUGAUAUAUAAGCAUUAGCUGACUGUGCUCGUAUUAAUUACUAUGUGUCGCAAUGAAGAUUAAAUUUGAUUUCCAUUUAAGCAAUAUUAAAAUCUUAAGAGCACAGAGAAUAUAGUUUCAGUCUGACUGGAAUUGGGUAAUUUAUUCUUAAAUUGCAUUAUAAUACGUAUGCCUCAUUUUUUGAAAAAAGAGCUGUGCCUUCUGGGAAACUUAGGGCUGAUUCCAACUAUCUGUCUUAAGUACAUCCAAGAAAUGUUUGCAUGAAGCUAGAUGCCGGAAGCCAGAAGGCCUUUCUUAGGCACACUUGUGUGAUGAGUCGUCUCCUCCUUGUCACAAAGCUGCAUCAUUCUUGGCUUUGGGCACAGUAUUUUUGGAAUGUAGAAUUAAGAGGAAAUAAUUGGCCAAUUCUGAAUUUUAGCCAAGAAUUUUGAACUCCUACCUAACUCUUGUCUUUUUCCUUCAUGCUUAUCAUUUCAAUCUGGCAGUAUUUUGGUCUUCCUGCCUGAUUUUUCCCCCUGUGCAAUUUAAUAAAGUACUUUUACUUGUGAUAAGAAACACCCCAAAUUUGAUAUGGAAAAAAAUUGAACAAGAUAUCUGAGUAAUUUUGUUCACAUGAUAUCUGGCAAAUAUUUCAGGCAAGGGGGUGGGGACUGAAAAUGAUUCUGCAGCCAAGCAUUCGUUCAGGCAUUAUUCAUUACCUGAAGCCCUUUCACACUGUCAGUUAUGGCAAUAUGAUUACACUUUAACUGCCAUGUCUGCAUCCUAUGGAAUCCUGUGGAUUGUAGUUUGGUCAGAGGCACAAAAAAGUCCCCUGGCUGAGAAUUAUAAGCAUUCCUCUCCAAACUACAAAUUCCAGAAUUCCACCAGGUGUUGGCACUGCAGCCGAAAUAGAAUUACAGUGUUGUAACUUUUUUUGUGUCAGGAGUGACUUGAGAAACUGCAAGUCGCUCCUGGUGUGAGAGAAUUGGCUGUCUGCAAGGACAUUGCCCAGGGGAUGCCCGGAUGUUUUAGCAUCCUUGUGGGAGGCUUCUCUCACGAUGAGCUGACAGAGGGAGCUCAUCUGCACUCUCCCCGGAUUCGAAUCUGCAACCUGUUGGUCUUCAGUCCUGCCAGCACAAGGGUUUAACCCAUUGCACCAGUGCUGUAACUAUGCAGUGUGAAAGCAGCCCUGGAGCUGCUCCAUUGCAUAACGCUAAGCAGGAGCACAACCCACCUGAUUUCUGUGCAUAUUUAUUCAGAUGUAAAUCCAACAAUACUUGAGAGGGCUUGGGGCUCAUUCACAAUACACAGUUACUGUAUUUCAAUAUCAAGGUAAUACGAGUGUAUGGUAGGUAUAGUAUGGGAUAUAGCAUUAGGCCUAUUUUUAAUAGUGACUCUCAAAUAAUCAGAAACUACAGUGUUCCCUCACUUAUCAUGGGGGUUGUUCCAGGACCACCCGCAAUAAGUGAAAAUCUGCAAAGUAGGACGCCAUAUUAAUUUUAAUAUUUAUACAUCAUUUUAUAUAUUUGGUAUAUUACUUUCUUACCCGCACUUCCUUACCCACCUCCUGGCCCAUCCCAACGGUGCCUGCCUGCCUCCCUCGCACCCACAGACUCCGGCAGAUCCUCUAGAGCCAUGCAGGCAACAGCAGGCCAGGGAGGCAGGCCUUCCCCACUGUGCCUCAGGCCGCCACACUUCUGGGGUCUGUGGACAUAACUAUUUUAUACACACACACACACACACACACACACACACUGCAUUUAUAUACCAUCCCUCUCAGCCCACAGGCAACUCGGGACGGUUUACAGUUGGUACCAAGACCAUAAAAUACAAUUUCAAUAUAGGAAAACAAUAAAAAAAUAAAACCAUAACAGAAUCAAUAAAAUUAAUAAAAACAACUCCCAAAUGACAAAAAUCAAUCCCACCCAACCCCAUAAAAUAUUUUAUAUUUUUUAUUAAUAAUUUCAAAAACCCGUGAAACAGUGAGUUUGCUAAAAGCAAACAUGGCAUCUAUGAAUCUCCAUGGAUGCCAGUUAAUGACAGUCUGCUGUACUAUCAUUUCACAUUAACUACUGUGGCUCAUCUUCCACCCAAUGGCAUCCUGGAGUUUGUAGUUCAGCGAGGCACUACAACACUCUGGCUGAGAAUGCUCAGUGCCCUUCCCUUAACUGCCAAUCCCACAGUUUCAUUGGAAUGAACUGCAAGAGUUAAAUUGGAAUCAUAGCAAUAUAAUUCUAUCGUGUGAAGGAGCCCUUAUUCCUUAGAAAAAGCAUGUAAGAUUACAUAUCUUUGGUCUGCCAGGUGAACUGCACUCUGUGGUUAAUUCACUAGUUUUAAUAUUUCAUUUCAGUCUGUUUCAGGUGAAGCAUUGCUGUGUAACAAUGAAACAGAGCAACUUGACAAUUAAACCCGUUGUAAAAGAAAUUGGGACCAGCUUUUUCAAAUCUCAUGUGGUUGGACAAAACCAACAGGAAGGGCAAAAGAAGGAGAUGAAACAUACUUGGUUCUGGCUUUUUACAGCAUUGGUAAUAAGGGGAAAGAAUCCAAGCUUGAUGUAAAACUGAACAUGUGCAGCUUUUGUAGGUUGUACAUUAAAACAAUAUGAUUCACUCACUGCCUUUAAACAUGAGAGCUAAGGCUGUACUAAUUCCCAGCUGUGCAUAAUGCCAAUUAGAUACUCAUUAAAUUAACAUUGAUAGCCUAUCUGAUGGGAGCCACAGUGCCAGAUUAGUGCUAUUGCACUAAAUUAGAAGGGCAGGGAGCAGUUCCAUGGUUUUGUACCAUCAUUUCACACAACAAACAUUUCUGCAGACAGCUCACCCACAGUUCCCCAACUUGUGGCCUAGCAGAGAGGUGAGAACAGUUGCUCUAUAACAUGCAAAGAAUUGAAUGCAUUGAGUCAGGACAUUUAAGAUAUCUUUCAUCCAAAUCCUGUGUUGAAGGUGACAUCAUUCAAGAAAAAGAUACAGGAAAGGAUCCGGUAAGAUUGUUUUUCUCUGAAGAUAGGUUUAAGAGAACGUUGUUGAUUGGUAUAUUUGAACUGGGAAUUCAAGCAAUGCCAACAACGUGAUAUGUAUCAAUAUAUGCAUUUUUUUACAUUCUUAAUUAAGAUGGGCACAAGUGGUGCAUAACAAGGUUGCAAAAUAAACCUUGAAAGUGAGAACCUUGACAGCUGUCAGUUAUUGGCUUUGUAAUACACUAUGUUGUUCGUUGAAUCUAAUUAGUUGAACUUGGCUCAGUGGAACUGAAUCAUAAGGCCCAUGUGCAUGGCUGCUGCUUACCAAAAUAAUAAAUUAUCAUUCUAAAUUGCAGCACACACUCCUUUUAACUAUGCAGCCGUUUACAAUUCAGGAUUAUUUCUGCUCCUGUUCCCCUUCCUUAUGCUUGAUUUAUGAAAGAGCAUUAAUCACAAACCAACACAUAGUGGAAGAUAGCAUGAUGAUAACUAAACAUUUGAUCUGGGUGGUAGGGCUGUGUGUGGGUGGAAAUGAAAUAUGGAGUCAGAACUUCAGUUUCUUGUAAUCUUAGCUCAGUGAAAUUCAUUAUUUCAUGGAGGAGUCUUUGGAAUGAGUGUAGUUUUGGGACGGAGAAACACUGGAUAACAUAACCAGAGUACAGCCUGAAUAAGCUUUGAAGAAAUUAACUUAGUCCUCAACAACAUGAUAGAGUUGGAAGAGACCACGUGGGCCAUCUAGCCAACCCCUGCCAUGCAGGGAAAGCACAAUCAAAGUACCUCUUGACAGAUGGACAUCCAGACUCUGUUUAAAAGCCUUCAAAGAAGGAGCUUCCACCAACAGUUUCACUAUUGAACAGCUCUUACUGACCAUUGUUAUUAUGUGAUUGCAUUUUGCUGUUAUAACGUUUUAAUUGAAUAUGUUAUAUGAUGUUUUUAAUUAUUGUUUUGUGAUUUUAUUGUUGGAAACCAGCCCGAGUCCCCCGAUAGAGGGGAGAAGACCGGUAUACAAAAUUGCUAAAUAAUAAAUAAAUAAAUAAAUACUGUCAGGAAGUUCUUGUAAUGUUCAA